GACGUUACAUGAAAUGUGGGUGGAAAGUUCUGACAAGACGUUUUUGUCUUUAAGGUCCCUCAUCGAAACCUGAAGGUGCUCCAGGGAAAGAAACAAAUGCCAGGGGAUUCCCGGGAAGAAGUGGACCAUCAGCGGAAAGAGCCUCUUCAAAAACAGGCUCUUCUGAUGGUGCCACUGACCCAACUUCGAAGGCUGCCUCCCUCCAGUCAGCGAAGCACGUAGUGACAGUGAGUUAGCCUCAUGUCAGAUGUGGUAGUUGUUUGUGCUGCUGUAUCUAGGCAAUAUUUUAGCACCAUUUCUGUCUGUAGCCCUUUACGUCUGUCAGAGUAAGUAAAUGUAAAGAGAGAUACUUUUGUUUUGUUUUACUUUUGAGACAAGUCUUGCUAUAUUUUAGCCCAGGCUGGCCUGCAACUCAAAAUCCUCCUGCUACAGCCACCCCCAAGGGCUGGGAUCUCAUGUGUGUUUUGGUAAAGUCUGUACUAUUUUGAUAACAAUAAAGCUAUUUUCUUCUCUUGCUG
rnacentral:lncRNA from 1 species